AGAACAUCUUACUAUUAGAUGCUAAAGUUUGUCAUUUUUCAUACAUGUAGGAGUACUAUUUACAUAUUGGCAAAAAGUGAUUCAUUUUUUGCGUUGUGUCUCGUGUCCUCCUUAGCAAUCUUUGACCAAAAAGACCACCUGCAAAAUCGUGAAGUAAUGAUUAAAUGUUAAUCCAUAUAUUAGACUAAGCGCAAACUUGUCUUAGUGGUAUAGUUCUUGUCAAUUACAUAAUAAGAAAAACAUUAGAUGUCUUAAAUUGGACAAUUUAAAUUUUUUAUAAUGGAACUGCAGAUUUUAUUUGUCAAUUACACACCUUUUCAAAUAUUGUCUAUCUUUGUGCAUAUGGUUAAUUGUGCCUGAACUUUAAUCAACUAAGAUCAAAGAGUAAUAAUAAUAAUAACUCUGUCAAAGAAGCCAGAAAGAAAAUAGCCAUUGAAGUUGGCUGUAACAUAGCUUUCAAUCAUAAUCAAAGUAAUGACUGAAGAACAAAGAGCAGGACUUUGAAGUUUUCAAGGUAGAAGAAAGAAAGGGACCAAAUAGUUCUUCGUGUACACUUUUGGUUAUUUAAAAUAUUAAACAUGUUCGACCUUAACUUUAGUAGGUCUUUUCAUUUUACAGUCAUAUCUCUUUGGCUAACUUGUUCUCUGUGUUGUUUUUUAAUUUGGCUGCUUCGGAUUUUAAAGGUGCGAAGUACCAGUAUAAUGCUUCAAAAAUAAUACAAUUUGAAGAAUCAAAAGCACAUAGCAACUUAUAAAAUUAUUGUGGUAAACUUUAGAUAGCACUUAUGUGUUUACCUUAACAGAAUAAACCACGGAUACUGGCACAUAGAAGAACCAGAACUUGAGGUGUCUUUGAGGUUCAAAAAGAAUGUGCGAGUUAUUGAGAAUGCAUAUGCAACAUCUUAUGUGAAACAAAAUUAAGAGUAAAAGUAAAACUUAAUUUUAUCCAAGAAACUUUCAAGGCUCAAACCAGUCUCUUAAGCUGCCCAAUAAGUUGGUAAUCACCGAGGAAGGUAUCAUACCCAAUAAGACAGAUACAUUGGAUUUUGGGAAAAUCUCAAAAAAUUAUUGUAGAUUAUGCUUGUAACUGACAUACCUCUUUAAGACGCUAUUUGUGCUCUUGCCGUAUAAGGAAACACAUUCACAUGUUUUCACAUAUGUUCAAUUGACCAGCCAUUCUGUCAAGCAUACAUGAGCUUCAUAUGUGACAUGUAAUUCAAAUCCAGUCAUACUGCUAUCCACUAUCUAUCCUGUAAUGAUAAUCGAAUUCGAUAUGAAAUAAGUAAUACUGUCUUCCUUAAUAAUCAUAAUUAUAACCAAAUCAAAUGUUCAAAAUAAAAACACAGAAGAGGUAUUAAGCAUGAGAACAAUUCACUUAACAGAUUACACAACUAAAAAACACCCUGUCAAAAGCUUGGAUAGAAUUUUUCAUGAAUAAUUAUGAGGAACCCGAAAAUUGGUAAGAUCUCAGCAAGCACUGGUCCAAGCUUUGAGGCACAAGUUUGUAUAUUCAAACUAAAUGUUCAGGUGAUGUUAAAUCUAUUUCAUAUACCUAAUUUUCUUAUAUUCUCACCAUUCUCCUACACAGUCGGGCAAAUAAAUAAUGAAUAUUGUAGAAUACUUAUACUGCGUAGAUUUCUCAAGAACUCAAUGCAGAGCAAAUUCUGUAAGCUUUUAAUCAAGUGUCAAUGUGUUCUUUGAAGCCUAAACCAACUAUGGAGAUACAAUCAGUUUAAUAAUAUAAAUCCACCUAAAUUGCUCAGAAUGAGAACAAUAUUAUAACUUUGAAGAACAAAUCUCAUUCUUAAGCAAAUAUCUGCCUUUUGUUCUGAAUUCAAAUGAUAUGAUAGUAAACAUAAAGAACAGAUACUACACUCCACAAUUUGCUUCUUGUUGAAUAGUCUUGAGUUAACAUUUGAUUUCUUGUUGCAGGUUGUAUUUGCAACUUUGUCAGUGUCUAAUUAAGUGCAUGAUAUUCUUAAUUUUGAGACUUCUCACUUGAAAAUACUUAUCAAUCACCUAAUCCUAUUUGGCAACAUUAUCAUUAUUCAUUGCCGUAUGGAUAUUAGCAGCCAAUACACGCAUUCUCAGAAAUUACUGUUUUUCUUAAAUUUUCUGUUCGUUAAUACUUUAGUACUGAAGUCUUUAACGUGAUUGUUAGUUCAUGCAUAAAGUUGGCAUUAUUUUCUAUAUGGCCUUCUUAAUAUUUCCUAGGCAAAAUAGUUGACGUAGUCAUAUUGCUGUGCAGGGUAUACUUACAUCCCCUUCUUUUUCCCUUUCUUUUACCUGAGGCAGCUCCACACUGCAUAUAUUGAAAAUAGUUCAUGGCUUCUACUGUAUCAGGGCCUUGAACAUAACUUUCGAGGAAUUUUAUUCACAAAGCUUCUGAUAUUGUCCGAUUUGGUGCCAUUAACAUAUUUAUAGCUUAUACACACUAUUUAUCUACCUAAAUUCAGAUAAUUUAAGAUUACAAAAGGUAACUCCAAACUACAUCUCAGUAUUACCCAUGUAAACUUCCACCCAUUACUAUAAUUGAAAGAAUUAUAUCUCAAAAUAGCCAAUCAGCGGUCUGAAAACUCCAAACAUGCUUACACCUUGGACAAAUCACUCUGAGCGUUUACUUGGUUCGGAUAGUCAAGAAGACGAAGUAGGAAACUGGAGGAUAAUAAUACCAAUACUAUCAGAUAAACUACAAUUAAAAACUAAGAAUUAAUUACCACAUGAAAACCCAAAAAAACUAAAAUAACAAAACAUUUGAGCAAAAGAGUGAGAAUAAAAAAAAAUUCAGAGGAAUCUGAAAUUGUUACCUUUCUCAAAAUUGAAGCUUCAAUUUGUUUUUUCCAAAAUGGAGCUUACUCCGGAUGCUACCAGCAGGAGAAAUUCAUUCCCUGAAAAUCUAACUAAAUGGAGUGUAAGACUUGAUUUUCCUCCUACUGUGAUUAAGAGCUAUGGAGGGAAUGAAAGAAAAAACACACACAACUAUAAACAAAUUGAAGCCAACUACCCACAUCCAUAAAAGAACCCAGGAACAAUGAAAUCCAUGAUAGGAGGAAAAGAAGCCAGAGCGAAAGCAAUUAUCUUGUACAAAAUUGCGAAAGAAUCUAAGAAAAUACAAGUGGAUGUAGUAAGUAAAGGAGAGAGACGGAGAAGACUAUAGAGAAGGGGGGACGUAAGUAUACCCUGACAGGGAUUAAGGCCACGUUAUGACAGUGGCUAGCAGAUUGCUAGACACGUAAGUACCCCGAAAUGCUAAGAGAUUAAAUGGCCAAAAUACCCUCAGCUAUGAAUGUAAUGACUAAAAACAGACACGUCGAAACUCUUUAAGCAUGAUGUAGUAUAACAUAAAAGGCGUCACAAUGGUGGGCAUUCUGAACCUAGAUUUCUUCUCGAGACACAUUACAAAUGCCUCCAUUAUGAAGGCAUAGUUUAGUGGAGACAUCAACUGACAUAACUCGUAGGGUGCUUGCUUAUAGAUCAUGUCUAAGGUUUCUAAUUCUUCAGUAUAUAUCUUCCCUGUAACCAAAGAGGGAAACUAAGAUAAACGCCAGAAUCAUUUAACAUGCUUGAAAUGCAUCAAAAGACAUACCUCUGCCCAAGGUAAAACCAAUUGUUAGUUGACUUCGAGAAGUAGUGGGUCAUCUCCAUUGUGAGCAGGGAGAACUUUUGAUACUGUCAAGUAUAGUCAACAACAGUCAUACCAUCUUAGCUUUAUUGGCCGAUGAAGAUUACCACUAUAAUCAUAACACAGACACUUAACAGCCAAGAGAUUGUUAGAAAGAAAAAUGACCUCCUAUAAUAGGUAUAGUGUCACUGAAGAGAGAACUUGUGAAUGUAUCUAGAUCUUUAUUGGCAGUUUUUCUAGUUCUUGCUUCUCGCUUUAUUGGGUCUCUGGAUUGUAUUCAAAAUUUUAAAUCUUGAAUCAUUGAACCACAUGAUAUUAUCACGCUUGAGGCCUUGUUCUAUCAAUGGUUCAUCCCACAGUAUACACUUACACAUAUGAUAUAUUAAUCCAGCCACGAAAGAGAAAGAAAGAACUUAAAUAGGUGAGAAAACUCACCUUGAAGCCUUGUUCAUACACCUCAGGUAAUUGUAGGCAUCACAACUGAAAAUGCUAUAAUAUUAGACAUAUUUGUCGUCCUCGUACAGUCUCUAAGAUCUGGGAACCUAAACAUCCGUGAGAAAUAUAACUUAAGAGAUAAACUAUAGAGCAUUCAGAAAAAAAAUAAUAUUAAUCAAUUUCGAAAUAAGAAAGAAUCAAUGUAUCAUCUGUUGACAGAAUGCAAGUUUGCAAUUAAAACUACCAUAGAUGGGGAAAGUACUAUAAAGAAGAAAUAAAGAGAUGUGAACUUUAUGUCGUAGCCUUCUUAUGUUCAGCGUUGCGAGAUAAAAGAAUCUGCCGGCUUUAUCAAAUGGCAAAUCAUUGAUAACUAAGCUUGAACAAGCACCCAGAAAAUUAGUCGGAAUGUUUAUUGGUUCAAAAAAUUUUAAAACAGAUUUAAAGCAACCAAAAAUAUUAUCACCUAAAGAGUAUAUAAAGGCCAGCUACUAAUGCUCUCUGUGUGUCUAUGAAUAACAUAUUCCUAUUUCCUAAUAUCAAACCGACAAAAAUUGAGCACUUUUGGCUUUUUAAAACAUGCAAACAUGCUACUGAAAAAAUUAAUUUCUUUGAAUAACAUAUUAGUUGAAAUGUCAAAGUAGUAAAUACAAAUUUCAGUGAUUUCACAAAAUAAAAUAAAUCCAACCAAAAAAAGUUCGAAUUUGAUUGCUAUAUCAACCUUUAAACAAAAGGCAUAGAAGAGUCCUCAACUUUGUUCCUCUUCCACAUGUUUUAUCACUUUCUUCCAAUUUUUGGUCAGAUCUAGGCAUGGAUCAAUAGAGGUGAAAUUUUUCAGUAGGGUUUACCUAAAAAUGGCCGAGAAAACUCCAGCACUAUAAACUUCAAAUUAUUUAUCAAUAAUAUCAAGAAGCGAAACCCUAAGAUUAUUCACUAAUAAGCAAACAAACAGAAGAUCACCAUUUAUCGGAACUACAAUCGUUGGGAUCGUCAAAUCCAUGCACUGGUGAAUUCGUGCUAGCAAAAGAAAUCGAGGAAAGCAUUGAGGGAUUCUGGAUAAAGACGUUGAAAACAGAUGGAUUAGCUAAUUAAGUUCGAGCAUGGCGAUGAAGAAAGAGAGGAGUGGACCACGAAGAAGGGAGAUGAACCAGAGCAACGGUGGCCAAAUGAUACGUGGCUACUUAGGUUAUCUGAAAAGACAACAAUAUCCUUAACUUUUCCUUAAAGGACUUUAAGCACACAUGUCGAAACACUAGCUUUUCUAAUAUAUAUAAAAAAAAAAAUACUUGUGCCCGUUCCCAUUAUUUUCUGAAAUAGAUAGCACAUAGAAGGGCAAUUACAUAUUUCAUCAUGUUUAUGCUAUUGGCAUUUAAUGGAUACAGCAUUCAGUUUACUGGAAACAAUAUUAAGGAGUACUUUCUAUGGUGGCAGAGUCAGCAUUUAUAAUUCAUGAGUUCUAUAUUUGCCAACGGACUCAUAGUUCAUUUUAAUUACUAAAUUUAUAAUUAAAUAUUUAAUUAAUUUUUUAAUACAAAUACAGAAUCUAAUCAAAAUUUAUUGAAUCCAGCCAAAUCCGGAGCAAUAACAAUUAGCAAAUGGAAUGAACUUACGCCUAAAGUAUCAAUCAUAUAAGGUAGUGGACGAACUCCUAGUAGAGGGAGAUCACUCGGUUAAUUCACCUUUUUUUUGAAAAACUAUGUAGGAGAAUUGUUUUUAUAAAGACUGUAGAAUUGGCUAGGUGCUAUAGCUAAAUAAUACACUUCAUUUAUUAUAGCCAUUUUUUAUAUUUUAUAAUAAAGUACAAAUAUAUAAAAUUGAUCCCCAAUUUUUUCCCACAACCCUAUCCCUCUUCUCCUUCAACUUACUCUCCAUUUCCCUCUCUCUUCGCCCUCGAAGGCUGCUGUCCGGAUCCGGUGUCAGAUCCAGAUCCAGAUGGUGAUUUGCUUGGCCGGCGUUAAAACAAGUUUUCCGAACAGAACGAAAUCUGUGAAACCUUAGCCGAUUGAUUGGAUAUAAGAGCCUUUUUUUUACAAAUGCAAUAAGCCAUGAUAGAUCUGCAGGCAUCAAAUGCUAUUUGAGUACUCAACGCCCAAUUUCUUUUUGUUGAAGCUUUUUCUUUUCAGUUGAAAAUGAAAGAGUUUUAAUAUCCAGAUCCGGCGUUAGAUCCAGACGAUGGAGGCUGGUGAUGUGUGGAGAGAACGGGGUGGUGAUUUGUUUGGCCGGAAGACGUUAUCUCCGGGAACUUUUUCUCUUAUUUGCUAUUGAGUCACAUAUAGGGGUGCCAAACGGGCGGGUCGGAUCGGAUAUAGAACGGAUAAAAAGCGGUUAAUGAAAAAUCGGAUAAAUUCUCCGACCCGACCCAUAUGUGAUACGGAUAAAAAACGGGUUAACCGGCGAAUAAUAUAGGUAACCAAGUUAUCCAUGACUUCAUCAAUAUGAUCACUUUUGGGAGAAUUUCUAAUUUAUUAAACUUAAGGGACUUCCAAUUUGAAGCUUUACACAUAUAAAAGUUAAACUCAUUAGAUAUUCAUUGGUUAUAUAUUUUAUAAAUGAAUAAUAUUGUUCUUAUCUAUAUUUGACCCGUUUUUAAAUAGUUCAUUAUUCAACCUAUUUUUUAGUGAAUAAUAUGGGUGGUUAACUGUUUUCUUUUAAUCAUUUUGCCGCCCCUAGUCACAUACAUUGAUAGAAAUAUUUUGUACAAAUAUAUUGUAUUCUGUACAAAUAUACUCAAAUUUGAGUGUAUUAUGUAUUUUUCAAUGCAAAUACAAUUAAUUUUCUUAUAUUUUUGAAUGUAUUUAUCUGUUCUGAAGGUUAUUGUUUCUGGCAUAUCUCCGUAUUUUUUGAAUUUUUGUUGUUCGAAUACAACCGAAUUAAAUAUAGUGUAAAAGUAGCUACAGAUGAAUACAGUAAAUUAAAUACAACCGAAUAUCAUUGUUUUGUAAUUUUUUGUUGUUUGAA
rnacentral:lncRNA from 1 species